AAUGAACGCUGGCGGCGUGCAUAACACAUGCAAGUCGAACGAGAAAGCGUCCUUCGGAUGUGAGUAAAGUAGGCGCACGGGUGAGUAACGCGUGGGUAACCGUACCCCUUCGAUCUGGAAUAACUUCGCGAAAGCGUUGCUAAUACCGGAUAUUAUCCAGAGAGCUAUGGCUCAUUGGAUGAAAGGUGACCUCUCCAUGGAAGUUGCCGUCGAGGGAUGGGCUCGCGUCCCAUUAGCUAGUUGGUAAGGUAAUGGCUUACCAAGGCUCAGAUGGGUAGCUGGUCUGAGAGGAUGAUCAGCCACACUGGCACUGAAACACGGGCCAGACUCCUACGGGAGGCAG
rnacentral:rRNA from 1 species